UUUAAAUUUAGACACAAAUCUAAACAGAUACUGUCCCUUCCAGGGCAGGACUCAAGAGCCGGAGCCACGACUCCAUUAAUCUGCCCAAACAUGGGCUGGGCAGCACCGCGCCCCCUUUCUCGCGAAGUUUCUCAGGACCCCGGGCUUUGCACGUUUUUCAGACCGCAUCAGCUCUCCCUCUUUUAGCCCGCCUUCUUUAUUUUCCUUGCCCCUCACAUUAGAAUUGCCUUUUCAUUCUUUUUCUUUUUGCCAUUUCCUUCUUUUCAUACCCAUCUUUGCAGCCUCUUCCUCUUCCCCUCCACAUCCUUCUCUUUAUUACUUAACUUCAUACCUAGCUUUCCUGGAUUCAGUAGCCUGAUAAGAAUACCUUUGUUUUGACACUUCUUUAACUGUCCACCUUCCAGGAUUCCGUUUGCAAGAAACAGCUAUCAGGACCUGCUGCUACGCAGAGGAGAGAGAGAACCAAUACGGUGCCGGACCACAGGACAGGUGAACGUUGGUGCUGCCCCUAUGCACGGAGCCCAAAGAGAAACCACUACCGGAAACCAUCAGAGGACUCGACCACACUGCAGAAGGCUGUCCUGGCUGCUUCUCAUCACGGCUGGUCUGUGGACUUUGAGGUCACAGGCCUUCUAAACCUCACUUUGUAAACCAUGAUGUCAGUUCAUUGAACUCAGCAGAGCGUGGGGGCAAGAAUGUGUUUUCAGAAGCAGACCGGGGUUAGACUCUAGCCCGCUGCUUUCUAGCUGUGCUCCUUUAGAAAAGCCCACUUACCCGAUCUUCAUUUUCUGCAUCUUCACAGUGUAGCUGAUGCUCUGGAAAGAGCGGCUAUUUUAAUAGUGCUUGUCUCAUGCACAGGGUUCAGAUGGACAAGCAACCCACAGUCCCUUUAUUUAGAUCCGUACAUUCUGGGGCCCAGAGAAAGAGUUCCCAUAUUCUUAUCUACACAGCUGCAAGCAGGGUUCUAGACAGAGAUGGAAGCAAGAAUGGAAUGUCUUGCUGAUCUUGAAUUUUUGAUCCCCCUGCCUCAGCUCCCUGAUACUGGAGUGACAGGUGUGUGCCUCCAGGUCAGGCUGACUUUCCUCUUCUUCUUAGAGCCGGGGGAGCUCCUUUCCACUCAGAGAGAGCAGCACGAGUCUUCGGACUCCACAGGAAGGAGGGCGGAAGUGCCUACCCAGAAGAAACCGUUGGGCCUAGAUAAUAUCACAGCCACCAAGGUGACACGCAGCUGCUCUCCUGCCCCACCCUGCACGGGGCCUCUCUGGGAACAGAUGAUCCACAGAACAAACACUACAGCCUCUUCAUGCUCCUGGGGCCAAGCGCAAAGCGGGUGGUUGCCCCAGAGCCCCGGCAGGGCCCUUCUCCCAGGGGAGGAGCAGAAUGGGACAGGAAAAUCCAGAGCUUCUUCGAGCAAUCUGGAGUAUGUGUGGGAUGUAUUCUCCCUUUAUCCUCCCUCCCACCUCUGGAGAAUAUCACCAGAAAGCAAGCGGAGACAGACAGUCUGCUAAGCAGCCAGCUCUUCUGACAGCCAAGGGGAAGAGAAAGUGGCUGGUCUUAGCCCUCCUCUCUCCACUCUCCAGGGUCUAGCUGGCUCAGAAGGACCCACUUCCUCCACACUCAACCCGGGCUUCCCCUUUACAGUACUCUAACAAAUCUAAACCAGCCAAGCCAGGAACGGAGGCAAGACUAUGGAAUAGCAGUGAUGCAGCUUGAGCCAGGGAAGGGCAGGAGAGGAGGGCCCAUGUAUACAGGCAGCCCUCGUGCAUAGGUUGUCAAGAAAAACUCGAUGAAUGACUAUGUG